UGAGACCUCAGGUCAGGCGGGACUACCCGCU
rnacentral:rRNA from 7 species